UACGUAGGUGGCGAGCGUUGUCCGGAUUUACUGGGCGUAAAGGGCGUGCAGGCGGUUUGUUAAGUGCAGGGUGAAAGCUCCCGGCUCAACUGGGAGAGGUCCUUGCAUACUGGCGAACUCGGAGGGAGGCAGAGGAAAGUGGGAAUUCCCGGUGUAGUGGUGAUAUGCGUAGAGUAUCGGGAGGAACACCUGUGGCGAAGG
rnacentral:rRNA from 1 species